GUUCUUGUUUCACAGCAGCUGGGGCCUCAGUUUCCAACCCUAGAUCUAAUGCACUAAGUGGCACUGACUGCUGAACAGCUGGAGUCGGAGUUGCAAGAACCACGUCCGGAGAGUCAAUAUCAAAUAGAUCAUUUGGACUGAUUCCACUCUCACUCAAAGCAGCAAGCAACAGAUCUUGUCCUGGCUCCACCAUCUUCUCUCUCGUGCCCGGUCCUCCCGCAGCCAGUCCCAAAAGUCUCCGCCGCCGGCCCCGCCGCUCGCCGCUUUCUAACUCCCGGCCGCCAUCUUGG
rnacentral:lncRNA from 1 species